rnacentral:lncRNA from 1 species
UAUUUGAGCAACAUGUUUUCUUCCUCUUCCUAUCCAUCUAACGUGAACUUCUUUCUUCUUCUCCUCCAUUUUAACUUGAGCCUCUCUUUCUCUUCUCUUUGUUUUCUUCACUUAUACUCACUAAAUCCACCAAUUUGACACCAUUCAACUUGAUCUAAUUAAUCAAUCUUUGAGAUUAAAGCUUGAGAAAUGAUAUUUGGUGAAUAAUUUCAAGUAAUUUGGAGGACAAAGGGUGGAUAACUUCCUACCAAAGACAAGGGAAAACUAAGGCAUCAAGAGUCUUAUUUAAGCUUGUUAGAGCUUAUGUUUAAGGUAAGUGUUCAUAAAUCCUCUUACCUUGUUUAAAUUUUUGAUUUUGUGAAGUUUAUACUAUUUUGUGAAAAUUGGAAAUUUUAUAUGAAAUAAUUUGAUUAUUGAAUUUUGGUGGUAUANNN